rnacentral:tRNA from 1 species
AGCCUAUCUUAGUACUAUUAAAAAUAUCGAAUUGCAAACUCGAAGAAGGAGAAAUAAACCUCUAGUAGGCUU